rnacentral:misc_RNA from 1 species
GAAAAGAUGUGACUUUCAUCUUGAUAAAAAUGUCUUAUUACCUAGUGGAAUGGUUUAAACGUGAGCUUUCUAGUGGUUUUCAGCGAAAAUUGGUUUUGGAUGUGUUUCCGUAUGACAGAUUUUAUAUGGCGAAAACACUAGUUAUUACGACAAAACCACUUGUUCACGGGAAAACGUGCAUUCUAUGCCGGUCUGAACAUGGUAUUAGUUGCCUAACUGCCUUCAUAAAGGUAAAUGUCACUAAAACAAAAGAGCUGCAAUUUUUUAAGCGUAGAAAAAAUCAGCAAACGUAAACAUUUUUCUGUCCCAACUACAUGUGAUAAAAUUAAUAGUUCUAAGAGAUAUUGUCAUCAAUUAUAUUUGACGAGAUUGUAAAGACGUUCGCAGAGAAUGACUCUGCGUUUCGUCUGCAUCGAGGUACGCCAUAGCCUACGGUGCGCAAAUGUUUUCCUCCAGUUCGAUCACAGCCUCACGGAAACAGAUUUCCUGAAAAUUGUUGUAGACAACGAUGCACUUACUUUCCGUGAAUACUCCACAGCAACACGUGUGUCCCUUAGUAAAUAUUUCACAGCAGAGGCGCGUACUAUAAGCAAUUUAACCGUAGAGGAGUGCAAUGCAAGCUUUCGUUUAACUAUAACUAAUGAUUGUGAACAAGCAACUACUGCUAACGGAGAGAAGCAAACUGAUAAACAGAGAAAAAUCGGUAUAACUCCUAAACCAGAUGUCGAGGAAGGUGGAGAGCUAAAAGUUGUAUGUAAAAAUUGUAAAUGUGAAUUAUGUACGACACUUAAAUGCCAAAGAGUAAGGGAAUUCCCAUCUGGCUCCAUCGAUGUGAGUGAAUUUUUCUGUCAUCAUGGCCCUAAAUUUGAUGAAGUAUUGGUGCCACAAUUAACGGACUUCUUUUAUGGUUUUCAAUUCAUUGUACUUAAUACUGAGUUGAUGCAAGAGAGAGUGAAGCUAAAGAAUGAGCAUGUUUAUUGUCGACGUUGCUUGCAGUACCUGGGUGAAAAUAUACUCAACAAUAAGGCCGUUAAAAUAUGGAUGGACACAUUACUAUUAAAACAUCAAACGGAAAAUGAGGCGGACAUCACAGUAAAUUUGCUUAACAAAUACGACAUUACGCCUACUUGCCAGCUUUUACACAAAAUUAUUGAUGAUACCGAUGUUGGUGGAGAAUCGAUAUUUCGAAAUCUACAUUUCUGCAAAGUAUUGUUAGAAGCCAUAUUUCCAAAUCGAGAACGUAAAUUCCUACUAUUGCAAGUUUUAGAAAAACAACUACAGGUGUUGCGAAACUCCACACCAUUGGCUCAUGGAAGCCACAACAACAAUAAUGUUUUGCAAGUGGAAUUGGAGCAAUUCAAAUGUUUUAAACUGCUUUACAGAAUCCUGGAUGACACAGAGGACGAAGGUGGAGGAGAGAACAGAGUAGAAAAGGGAAAUGAUGAUGGUGAUAAUGCUAGUAAUGGAAGUAGUGCUAGCAUUGACAACGUAUUAUUAAAAUCUUGGAAAGAAGAUAUGUCUAUACAUGUGUUGAAAAUAUCACCUACUCUUUUUAAUACAUUAUUGAAUGAGUUGGAUGUUAAUGCAUUAUUACUACCCGAAUUGUAUCGCUAUACCCAAGACUAUUUUCAACUCAGUUAUAUAUUUUACGAAGAAUAGUAUACAUAUUGGCUAUAAAGAGAGAUACCAAAGUGUCGCCAAUGGCAACACGUCAUGAUAUAUGUUGACUUAAGUUAGCUAGAAGGAAAGGCAAUUUAGAUCAUACGUUCGAUUUACAUGUAUUUGUUUAUUUAUAUUAAUUAACUUUCAAUACGCUUAUUAUACUAAGAUUGUAAGCAACAAUUAAACGACACAUCAGCACACAC